GACAGAGGGGGCAAGCGUUGCUCGGAAUCACUGGGCGUAAAGGGCGCGUAGGCGGGAUGGCAAGUCGGUCGUGAAAUCCUUCGGCUCAACCGAAGAACGUCGGCCGAUACUGCCGUUCUUGAGGGAUGCAGAGGAGAUUGGAAUUCCUGGUGUAGCGGUGAAAUGCGUAGAUAUCAGGAGGAACACCGGUGGCGAAGGCGCACAUCUGGCCCGAUACUGACGCUGAGGCGCGAAAGCUAGGGGAGCAAACGGG
rnacentral:rRNA from 1 species